AGCUGCGGUAUGCUGAAGCGUAAGGCUGAACACACAGAGAACUAGGGUACUAGAUGUGCCUGGCCCCUUUAGCACUCAGACUAUACGGCAAAGAGGAAGGAAGGACCACAAAACUUGGAUUUUCUUCUUACCCAUCUUGUCACUCGACACUAAUCAUCCUGGUAUAUUCUGUUUUAGCUGUGAAACUACUUUACUUAUUUUCUUUUGCACAAGGGCAAGCAUUAAGAAAAGCCAAAUGACACAGCAGUUUCUGACUGCUGGAGGCUAGAAUGCAAACAACUUUGCAGACAUCCUAAUAAGAAUAGGAAACUAGCAGUGUUUCUUUUUCCUUUGUGUUUUAAAAAUAGCUUUAACUUAAUCACUCUUGAGGACAGACUACCUCAGGGAAUUGCUAUGAAUAUAUGGAAGCCUGUCAACUCAGCUGCAUUGGUUUGAAACUCACUAUUAUCAACAAUGACUAAGUGCCAGACUGGAAAUGCAUCGGUUUGCUCAGCCCAUAUCGAAGGAUGUAUGCCCCUUUUGUAAGAGCUAUUGCUGAUUUUCACCUUUCGGCACUCUGAGUGAAGAAGAAGUGUCUCAUCUCUGAAGGGGGACUUGACUUUACCUGGAAAGAGGGAUCCCUGCUGGCCGAGGAGAAGCUGGGGACUGUGUUCAAAAGAUCCUCUGUGCACAAGGCUUUGGCUUAAGCCUCAGCAACAAUCUCCAGCUCCACAGGCUGGGAAAUCUGGGACAGAAGAUGAAGGUGAGUAACAAGGCAGCACCUUCGGCAACUUACUGAGAAGGGCAGGUAGUUACUGGGAGCAGAAGAUGUGGGGUAUGUGGGCACCUGACUAACUUGUUAUGUAUACAUUGUCUUAAGAGACUCCAUGCAAGAAAAGUACUAAAGAUAUUGCUAAGAAGGGCAAUAGCUUGAGGAGGAGUAAAAGAAAAAGUAAGUUAGAAAUAUAUCUACCAAACAAUAAGACAAGAAGAAAGGCUACUGGAGAAGAAAGAAGACCUAUGGGAAUAUGUAACAAUAAAGGUAAAGCAGAAGAAGAGACUGGCUGGUAGAGGAGAAACAUAACUGAAACACAGAAGGUCUCUGAACUGUGAGGAAGGACAUAUGAAGACUAUGCUGAGGAGGUAUCACUAUGGACUUGUCCUUCACUUAUACUAUUUAUUAAACAUCUGCUGCUGACCACGGAGGCAAGACACAGGGCCAAAGGCACCUCUGCUUUGACUCAGUACAGCUAUUCUUACCUUUUUUCAUUUCACAGGAAAACAACAGUGAGCCUUCCAAAAGGCAGGAAAAGACAAUGGAGCACUAGAAGGCAGGCACUAGAAGAAACAAGAAGUAGAUACAAAGAAGGCUAUGACAUAAUGAUCCCUGGAACAAGGAAGGACAGCAGGGAAAGAAACUGAGACUCAUAGCAGCACAAAGAAGAGAAAGAGGUCUACAAUGACUCCCAUUAAAAGCAAUGAAUUCUUAAGGAGAAUGAAUAUGAUUAUUAAUAGAGCAGAACCAAAGAAAGAAAGGGCAAGUGUGUGUCUACCAUUAGCACGAGUCUCAAGAUAAAAAAUAAUUAUGAUGAGAUCAUGGAAGAAUCCAUGUUUUAGGCUGAAUGUUGAGCGAAUUAUACUGCCUGGCUCCCACUGGAAUGAACUGAGAUCAACUACACCAGGGCUAGGGAAAGAGUUCAAAAAAGUAAAGAGUAAAAUGUUAUUAGCCAAAAUUCCCUCUGGACCAGCCUGUAUCAAAGGAAAGAUAAGCUCAGUGCCUGUACAUUGAACUGUCCUGGUCCACACCCCGAAAUUUUUAUUGUAUGUGACAGUUCAUCUGAAGACAUGUGGAUAUCUCCAAUACAAAGUAAACAGGAGCUAGUAAAGGAUAAAAAAUAUCCACAAAUGGAUAAGCAGAGUGAUCAUUGCAAAUAGUGACAAAAUAACCAGGUGUAUAAAUGGUGAGAGCAUUAUACCUAAUCUGUUUAGAGAAUCCCUGGGAGACAGGCUUGGACAGGAGAGGGGUCUAGGAAAGCUGGUUGAUUUUCAAGGACCAUCUCUGCCAAGUUCAAGAAUGGUCCAACACAACAUGCAGGAAGUCAAGCAAAGGUGGCAGGAGGCCUGCAUGGAUAAACAAGGAGCUCCUGACAAAACUCAAACAUAAAAAGGAAAUGUACAAGAGAUGGAAGCAGUGACAGGCUACCCAGGAAGAAUAUCGAGACACUGUCUUAAGGUGCAGGGAUGGCAUUAGGAAAGUCAAAGUCCACCCGGAGCUGAUACUGGUGAGGGAUGUGAAGGGCAAAAAGAAGGGCUUCCACAAGUAUAUUAGCAGCAAAAUCAAGACUAGGGAAAAUGUGGGCCUGCUGCUGAAUGGAGCAGGGGACCUGGCAACAAAGGACUUGGAAAAGGCUGAGGUAUGCCUUCUCAGUGCCUUCUUAAUGUUGGUCUUUACCAGUAAGAAUUGCCUUUAGGAAUCCCAGGUCCCUGAGAUCAAUGGGAAACUCUGGAGCAGUGAAGAUUUACCUGCAGAGGAGGAGGUUGUGUUAGGAAACACUUAAAUUAAUUAGAGACCUCCAAGUUCUUAGGACCUGAUGGGAUGCACCCACGAGUGCUGAGGGAGCUGGCAGAUGUUACUGCAAGGCCACUCAUGCUCAUCUUUGAAAGGUCAUGGUGAUGACUGGACAAAAGCAAAUAAUGAUGUUCAAGAAGGGCAAGAAGGAUUCAGACAACUACAGACCAGUCAGCCUCACCUCAAUCUGUGGGAAGGUGACGAAGCAAAUCCUCCUGGAAGCCACUUCCAAACAUAUUAAAGACAAGACGUGACUGGGAGUAGUCAGCAUGUAUUUAUGAAAGGGAAAUCAUACCUGAUGCACAUGAUAGCCUUCUACAACGAGAUGACCAGCUUGGUGGAUGAGGGGACAACAGUGGAGAUUGUUUAUCUUGACUUCAGUAAGGCUUUUGACCCUCUUUCCCAUAACAUUCUCCUAGGCAAGCAGAUGAAGUAUGGGCUAGAUAAGUGGACAGUGAGGCAGACUGAAAACUGGCUGGACUGCUGGGCUCCGAUGGUUGUGAUGAGUGGCAAGAAGUCUAGCUGGAGGCCUCAGCAGUGGGGUACCCUGGUGGUAGGUAAUGGGGCCAAUACCAUUUAACAACCUCAUUAAUGACCUGAAUGAUGGGACUGAAUGCACCCUCAGCAAGUUUGUAGAUGAUACAAAACUGGGAGGAAUGGCAGAUACACCAGAGGACUGUGCUGCCAUUCAGAAGGACCUUGAUAGGCUGGAGAAAAGGGCAGAGACGAACCUCAUGAAGUUCAAUAAAGGGAAGUACAUAAUCCUGCAACGGGGGAGGGAUAACCCCAUGCACUGGGGUUCAUUCACAAUGAAUGAACCAGAAUUUCUUGUUUAUGAAAUGAGAGUGAGUACUACAGGAUAACAGAAAUAUAGUACAUAGUACAUAGUAGUUCUAACUGAAACACAGGGGUUGAAAACUACGUGCUGUUCAAAGAAGACAGAAGUGAAAGCAAAGGUAAGCUGGUUAAAUGUAUGACAUUGUAAAGACAUAAGAAAUGACAAAGAUAAAAAAUCAACUAUUUGGAUUAAAAUCACUUGGAGAAAAUAGUGCAAGAAGUCUUAAAUGGGACAGGGUUGGUAGUUUGUUAGAGCUACUUUUAUGUGUUAAUAAAAAUCUCAUUCAUAUAAUUAGAAAAAGGAAUAUUGCCUAUUUUGGUGGGACCCAGUCCACAUAAAUUACACCUUAAAUAUUUGAAGCCUAAUAAAUGAAUGAUUCUACAAUGAGUGCUUGGGGUUUCUGUAUUGUCAGUGAGAGAGAAUGUGUUGCCUUUGAAGAUCUUCAAAAAGAGAUCCUGUCUAAGUCUAGGUGAAAGUUAUGUAUUUAACUUAGGUGAACUGGAUUCAACCCUCUAUUAUAAUGGGUAACACUGACUUCACAAAGAUAGAUUAGUCAUAGGUUGUUAGUAACAGCAGAAUUCAGGUAUGCCUGAGGGUGAUAACUGGCAUGCUUUUCACAGUAAAAGACACAAAACACUCCAUGAACCAGCAAGAUGUAAUGUGACCUCAGACUUGGUUCUGGUCGAGGUACAAUAUUGAUAAACUAGAGGAACAAGCCAAUGAAGUUACAUGGACUGUUGAGCUCUUGAACUGAAAUAUGAAGGAAACCUGGAAUUUCUUUAAGAGGGGCAAAAUCUAUCUGGAAUUUAUAUUCAAGUGAAUGGAAAUAGCUUGUAGGAAAGAUAUCCUAAAGUAAUUGGAUGAUUAACCACAGAAAAGGAUAUUAAUGACAGAACCAGAGAAUCUACUAGGAGUGGAAAUCCAGAUUGAUCAGCAGAAAAAGUUUUGUCCUGGAGAUUAGAAUGUGCAGGCACUAAGUGAGAAACUGCAAAAAAUGAAGAUGAAGUAAGCCUUGCAGCUAUGAAAAAGACACUAAUGAUUUCUGGCUGCUUUGGGUACAGUCAUUCCUAUAGGAAAAGUGAAAAAAAAUGGCAAGGCACAGGCAUAACCCUAGCUGGGGUGCUGAAUAGAAGACUGCCAUCCGCACUCAUGAAGGAAAAAUUCAAAUCGGAUGAACUGCAGGGCUGCUGACGAGCUGAAUACCUGAUGAACUGUGACGACAGCCUUGGGAACAGGUGAAGACAUUGCAGGAGAAGGCUGUGAAGGUGGGAUCUACACCUAGACAUCUAAACUACCUGUCUAAAUGAAAGGAGACAUGUAGGCUCUCUGGCAUGCUAUGGAGAAAGACAGGCAGCUGUAGAAGGCUAUCCAUCUGCACCCACUGCUGCCUUGGGCCCUUGGUAAAUAACAAUGGGCUUGUGGCCACACGGGAACACAGUGUAUCCUGGGUGAGCUAGCUGACUUCCCUGCCUGUGCUGGUGCUUGCAAGUUCACUGCUUGCACAGACGGCAAAUCUCCUCCUGGGAUUAUCAGCGGGAUGCAAUGCAGAUUUAGGCACUAUGCUCUCUGAGGAAAGAAAAGGAGUCUAGAGUCUAGAAUGGCAGAAGCCAGUUGUAUUCUUGAAUGGAAAAAUAGAAAAUAGAAAAAUCUUCAGGCUGAUCAAGACCCUAGCAAGAGGAAGACAUCAUCUCUAAUCCUCUCUAUAUACAGGUCAUUAACUUCACUGAGAUGGUAGAGGCACAACAGGAUUAGAUUCUGUAUCUUUUUUCUAACAUUGUUUAUUCAAAUUCCUAACUCUGUAAAACCAUUUCAGUUUUACAAAGAAAAAUGGGCCAUGUCACUGGUUUAUGUGUCUUCACUGUGUUUUUAAACCUAAUCUUUUUACACAAAUAUUUUCUUUUAAGCAUAUCAAAUCCAAGUGGUCAAGAUUUCUGUGGACCAUACAAUAUAAACAAAUACAUUUGUUGUUGAAAAUUUCCUUCCAGAUUAGAGUUUGAUUAAAAAUGCUAACAUCUCUUUUGAGAUAGUUUUCUAGUAAUAACAAACAGAAACAUGUCAUGAGGUGUUUUUGUCAGUCCUUCUACAGCAGUCUUGACAUCCAGAAAGAAUUAACAUAAAUUAAGUGGACUUUUGUUACAGAAAUAAGAAAUAGGUCUUUAAUUUACUCUACUUAAACAGAUUCCUCUUUCUUUUCUCUCCCCCCCCCCCCCAUAGGAUCAUUGUAUUAUACAAGUAUCUCAUAUUUAUCAUUUUAAUAAGCACAACAUGCAAAACCACAAAGACAAAGGAAAUACAUCAGUACUGGACAAUUAGAAGCCAAAUGUAAAGACUGAAGAACUGUUAAUUCUUUUGGAUUUUGCUGUCCUUGUCUGUGUCUCUCCUCCUUCCACACAAAUCAAGAAAUCACCAGAGUCUUAGCUCUGGUUCCAUUGCCACUGAACUCUGUGAAAUCAGAGUUUUAUCUGGAGGCUUUGUCCUCAGUACUUACUCCAAUGACUGUGAUGCAUAUGUAAAAAUAUAUUUCCAAAAGGCAGGAACACAUACUCGACAAGAAAAAGACAACAGUAGAGAUUACUACAUAGUCAGGAACUAUCUGUUCAUUCACAUUCUCUGAAAUCUCCUGAUAUAAGGCCUCACAGUUCACUUAGACAGCUAUGGCUCUAAUACAGUAUCUGGGAUAUCAAAUUAGAGAAAAAUUCAAACAUAUAGGGUUUGCUGAGGUUUAUAUAUAUUAGCUAAAAUGCUUGUAUUUUUGAAUAAAACCAAAGAGGUUAAAAGAGUUAGGAGUUUAUAUAAAUUUUAUCUGAAGCUCUCAGUGAGUAUGUAGGUUUUUUUCCUUAUUAGUCCAUUCAAAAAUAUAUACCUCUCUCUGUAUCUCUAUAUACCUAUAUAUCUAUAUAUAAAAAACACAUGACCUUCCCAUGAAUGGAGGACUUGAAAUAACAGAAUUCAUACAGCCCUUCUGACUUGCUUUGGUUAGUUGAAUAUUUCUAAUUUCUUUGUGUGUUACAGUUGGUUUCACCUUUUUGGUUUUUGCACAUUACCUCAAGCGUAACUCUAAAAAUAUUCCUCUAGACACUUCUGCUGUACAGUGGGUCUGGAAGGAGAGAUUCGGCUACUUGCCUCCCUGAAUCAGAUUUUCCUUAAUCAAAUUUUCCUGCAGAAAAGCCAGAAGCAACUGCAGAAUACAAUUAAAUAACUAAAAAUGAGAAAUGCAGAAACACUAGAUUUCUUUUGAAAUGUCUCUUGCAGUCUUUUGGAUUGUGUUGUGCAGUGCUUACAGCCUCUGCAAGUAGAAAACUACACUGGGGUGCAACAGAUUACCAUCCCAAAGACAAAUAAUCUCUAUUGUACCUGCUGCUUUGGGCAACUCUUUAUGUUAUUAAUUUAUACUGUAUUCCGCUUUAUAAUAGCUAAGCCCAACAGAGACAUUUAAACUGGCAAGCUGUUGUAUCCGUUGACCCAGUUCCUACCUUAGUGCACCCAAUCUUUCACCCCUGAGUAGGAAAAGAACAUAUGGCUACUGACCCAAAUAAAGAAAACUACAGAGGGAAUAGAGUAUGUCCGGUGUGGAUUUCCUGGGCAAGCAGGAGAGGCAAAAAGAUGUUUUUUCUCAAUGUCCACAUGAGCUGAUGUGGCACAAGAAUCUGAAUGACAUGGUGGCAGCUGAGCAGUCUGUCUCUCUCUUGCCCUCAUCUCUAUUCAGAUGAGCAUGCCCUUUGGUAUUCCUCCUGCUCCGGACGUAUGAUUAACCUUCCUUUCUGGGAAGAACCCCACAACAGGAGAAACACAGCCAGGAAAGUCCUUCAUACUCCAGCACUAGACCAAAAGACUACUUUCAGAGAAAAUGCCUAUUUUGAUCUCUGAGAAGAUGGAGUCCAAGAUUAGUUCAGUGUUUUACAGAGGACACCCAGAAGGCGAAGGAGAUUUAGAAUGGGAAAUUCACAGAAAAUGUCACUUGAGAAAAUUCUCAAAUGUUUUGAAUUUUCCAGUUAAACUGAUUUUAAUUUAUAAAUAACACCGUGCAAUUCAAAAUGCUUUCACUAAUUUGAAAAAAAAUCGGUAACUGUAGUGAAGCCAAAUUUUCAUUUUUGUACAUAAAGAUGUUUGUAUGAAAAGUGCUGUUUAUUCAGAGUUGCUGAAGUAUGUGCAGGACUCUUACAUGCUAACUUUUUAAAAAUGGUAACAUUGAUAUAUGAGCUAUUUACUCAGCUCAGUUAUAUUGAGAAGACAAAUAAGUCCACAGCACUCAAUAUGUAUCAAUAGCAGUGCAGGGUACAGGAAAGAGGCCCAGCAUCUCAAUUUUUACUGUCUCUGAAGGUUUUGUGAUUUGUCCAAAGCCAAAAAUCAAAACUGAACUAAAGAAAUGCAGUUCAGACUGAUAAAAAAUAGAAUGAUUGUUCUGACUAAAUUUCUGAGUAGUCUAAACUGUUUUUUUAAAACUAUAUAGCUUUUCAACUUCUUUUUUCAGCUGACUUACUUAAUCUCCUAGUAAUUCAAGAUUCUGUUAGUCUAAUCUCUUUAAUAGGCAUAUUUAUCACCAAAUGUCAAAUGCAUUUAGUAUCUUUCCUGUUGCUCAAGGCACCAUUGAUCACAGAUACUGCAAUGGCAUUUAAUAUUGGCUUUUGUACAGAGGACUGUUCCAAACAACAGAACGUUGAGUCUUGUCUACCAGCACAAUCAUCUGUGCAUCUAAUCCAUAUUAUAAGUAGAGGAUGUGAAUAAAGGACUAACCAAAAAUAGUUUUUAUGUUCAAAUCUCCUAUGACAGCAGGAGUUUUUAACAGCUGUUUGUAAGAACAUUUCUGCAUGGGGGAAAAGCACAGCAAUACAUAGUUGUGUAUCAGGCAAUUUGUCAAUUAUAUGUCAGCUUUACAACAGCAAGUAUUUAAAAGACUAAUGAUAUAGCAUCCAUAUUUACAAAUCUCUUUUACUGUUUCUUUAUUUUGGCACUGAAAGAUUUUCAAGUAAUUCUUGUACAUGCAAGUUUGUAAUUUAUAUGCCUUUCUGCUUUGAUUAUCCUGCUAUAACUCAUAGCUCAUGUCAUACUGUUUUGAUGAGUAAGUAUGAAAUUCUAAACUUCUGUGUUCUGGAAUAUUUAAAAUUUGCGCUCCUUCUGGCUGACCUUGCCUAUAGGACUUCGACAAUGUUAAAUACCCUGCAACUCCACUGCAAAGCUGGCCAGUUCACAUCAGAGUUGAGUCUGACUUUAUUGUUGUUGGGUGCUAGAGGGAAAGAAAGCUACUUUAUAAUAAAAACUGAUGCCUUUCUUUA